rnacentral:misc_RNA from 1 species
UGAAUAAUACAUAAAAUUAAAGUUGUAUCUGAUUGAUUUGUCUCAAUUACACAAAAGAGGCUAUAGCUAUUUGAUCAUAACACAUUGGCAAUAAUGAUUAAUUUUGUGCCAUCCAUCAAGCAAGAAAUCCAAGUUUUUCACCAUUCUUCUUUGCCAAUCGAAUUAAUCCUUGCCUUUGCUUCUGAUCUGCUCCUAUUGACUUGCAAAACUCUGUGAUUACCUGAGAGUGUAAAGCAAUAGCUUUGCCCCUAAGUUGAUUGAAUCUUUUUUUGCCAACAAUAUUCCUAGUGAUAACAACAAUUGGUGCAAAUAAUCCUUUUCCAUCAUUAACAUUACCCAUCAUUAUCCUUGAUCUCACUGCCUUUCCAAAUUUAACAUUCAUUAAUGGUUGCACUUUCCUCAUAAACUUACCAUAAUCUUCACCACUAACACAUGAAGAAAAUGAAGUUGUUGCAAUUGAACUUGUAAUUGCCAUUCAAAUAACCUUUUUUCUUAGGACUACUAGUAGUAAAUAAUAUUCUUGAAUAUAAAAGUGAUGAUAAUGGAGCUAAGGGGGGUUUUUGAG